GGGGAUAUAGCUCAGUUGGUAGAGUGCUUGAUUGCCUCACAUGCACAAGGCCCUGGGCUCAAUCCCCAGCAUCACCC
rnacentral:tRNA from 1 species